rnacentral:ncRNA from 1 species
AAAAUAGCAUGAGGCAGCGAUGCAAAUGAUUAGUAUCUGGAGAAGGCAUUCUAAGAAGGAUAUGAAAGGUAACCAUCGCCGAGUAUAGAUUAUGGCAAUAAUCUUAUACGGGGUUAUAGGAAACACUUAUAACACUCCUACUUAUAGUAGAGGCGCUUGCAAAUCG